GUCGAGCGGUAGCACAGAGAGCUUGCUCUCGGGUGACGAGCGGCGGACGGGUGAGUAAUGUCUGGGAAACUGCCUGAUGGAGGGGGAUAACUACUGGAAACGGUAGCUAAUACCGCAUAAUGUCGCAAGACCAAAGUGGGGGACCUUCGGGCCUCAUGCCAUCAGAUGUGCCCAGAUGGGAUUAGCUAGUAGGUGGGGUAAUGGCUCACCUAGGCGACGAUCCCUAGCUGGUCUGAGAGGAUGACCAGCCACACUGGAACUGAGACACGGUCCAGACUCCUACGGGAGGCAGCAGUGGGGAAUAUUGCACAAUGGGCGCAAGCCUGAUGCAGCCAUGCCGCGUGUAUGAAGAAGGCCUUCGGGUUGUAAAGUACUUUCAGCGGGGAGGAAGGCGAUAAGGUUAAUAACCUUGUCGAUUGACGUUACCCGCAGAAGAAGCACCGGCUAACUCCGUGCCAGCAGCCGCGGUAAUACGGAGGGUGCAAGCGUUAAUCGGAAUUACUGGGCGUAAAGCGCACGCAGGCGGUCUGUCAAGUCGGAUGUGAAAUCCCCGGGCUCAACCUGGGAACUGCAUUCGAAACUGGCAGGCUAGAGUCUUGUAGAGGGGGGUAGAAUUCCAGGUGUAGCGGUGAAAUGCGUAGAGAUCUGGAGGAAUACCGGUGGCGAAGGCGGCCCCCUGGACAAAGACUGACGCUCAGGUGCGAAAGCGUGGGGAGCAAACAGGAUUAGAUACCCUGGUAGUCCACGCCGUAAACGAUGUCGAUUUGGAGGUUGUGCCCUUGAGGCGUGGCUUCCGGAGCUAACGCGUUAAAUCGACCGCCUGGGGAGUACGGCCGCAAGGUUAAAACUCAAAUGAAUUGACGGGGGCCCGCACAAGCGGUGGAGCAUGUGGUUUAAUUCGAUGCAACGCGAAGAACCUUACCUGGUCUUGACAUCCACAGAACUUAGCAGAGAUGCUUUGGUGCCUUCGGGAACUGUGAGACAGGUGCUGCAUGGCUGUCGUCAGCUCGUGUUGUGAAAUGUUGGGUUAAGUCCCGCAACGAGCGCAACCCUUAUCCUUUGUUGCCAGCGGUUCGGCCGGGAACUCAAAGGAGACUGCCAGUGAUAAACUGGAGGAAGGUGGGGAUGACGUCAAGUCAUCAUGGCCCUUACGACCAGGGCUACACACGUGCUACAAUGGCAUAUACAAAGAGAAGCGACCUCGCGAGAGCAAGCGGACCUCAUAAAGUAUGUCGUAGUCCGGAUUGGAGUCUGCAACUCGACUCCAUGAAGUCGGAAUCGCUAGUAAUCGUAGAUCAGAAUGCUACGGUGAAUACGUUCCCGGGCCUUGUACACACCGCCCGUCACACCAUGGGAGUGGGUUGCAAAAGAAGUAGGUAGCU
rnacentral:rRNA from 1 species